UGGGGAAUAUUGCACAAUGGGCGCAAGCCUGAUGCAGCGACGCCGCGUGGGGGAUGAAGGCCUUCGGGUUGUAAACUCCUUUCGCUAGGGACGAAGCCUUUUAGGUGACGGUACCUGGAGAAGAAGCACCGGCUAACUACGUGCCAGCAGCCGCGGUAAUACGUAGGGUGCGAGCGUUGUCCGGAAUUACUGGGCGUAAAGAGCUCGUAGGUGGUUUGUCGCGUCGUCUGUGAAAUCCCGGGGCUUAACUUCGGGCGUGCAGGCGAUACGGGCAUAACUUGAGUGCUGUAGGGGAGACUGGAAUUCCUGGUGUAGCGGUGAAAUGCGCAGAUAUCAGGAGGAACACCAAUGGCGAAGGCAGGUCUCGGGGCAGUAACUGACGCUGAGGAGCGAAAGCAUGGGUAGCGAACAGG
rnacentral:rRNA from 1 species